GAGGGUGUAGCUCCAGUGGUAGAGUGCAUGCUUAGCAGGCAUGAGGUCCUGGGUUCAAUCCCCAGUACUCCCU
rfam:Camelus ferus unplaced genomic scaffold scaffold1533, whole genome shotgun sequence.